UACGUAGGGUGCAAGCGUUGUCCGGAAUUAUUGGGCGUAAAGAGCUCGUAGGCGGUCUGUCGCGUCGGCUGUGAAAACUCGGGGCUCAACUCCGAGCUUGCAGUCGAUACGGGCAGGCUGGAGUUCGGCAGGGGAGACUGGAAUUCCUGGUGUAGCGGUGAAAUGCGCAGAUAUCAGGAGGAACACCGGUGGCGAAGGCGGGUCUCUGGGACGGUACUGACGCUGAGGCGCGAAAGCGUGGGGAGCGAACAGG
rnacentral:rRNA from 1 species